rnacentral:rRNA from 1 species
UACGUAGGUGGCAAGCGUUGUCCGGAUUUACUGGGCGUAAAGAGCGCGCAGGCGGUCGUUCAAGUCGCGUGUGAAAGCCCCCGGCUCAACUGGGGAGGGUCACGCGAUACUGAUCGACUCGAAGGCAGGAGAGGGUAGUGGAAUUCCCGGUGUAGUGGUGAAAUGCGUAGAUAAUCGGGAGGAACACCAGUGGCGAAGGCGGCAUCCUGGACCGGCAUUGACGCUGAGGAGCGAAAGCCAGGGGAGCAAAGCGGG